UACGAAGGGGGCUAGCGUUGUUCGGAUUUACUGGGCGUAAAGCGCACGUAGGCGGAUUGUUAAGUGAGGGGUGAAAUCCUGGAGCUCAACUCCAGAACUGCCUUUCAUACUGGCAAUCUAGAGUCCGGAAGAGGUAAGUGGAACUCCUAGUGUAGAGGUGGAAUUCGUAGAUAUUCGGAAGAACACCAGUGGCCGAAGGC
rnacentral:rRNA from 1 species